rnacentral:rRNA from 1 species
UUGAUCCUGCCAGUAGUCAUACGCUCGUCUCAAAGAUUAAGCCAUGCAUGUGUAAGUAUAAAUAAUUCUACUUUGAAACUGCGAAUGGCUCAUUAUAUCAGUUAUAGUUUAUUAGAAAAAAUGUACUACUUGGAUAACCGUAGUAAUUCUAGGGCUAAUACAUGAGUAAAUCCUCGACUUUGAAGAGGUGUGUUUAUUAGUAUGAAAACCAUAUGCUUCGGCAUAAUAGUGAGUAAUAAUAACCUUUCAUAUCGUAUGUUGAAAUAACGAUAGUUCUUUCAAGUUUCUGCCCUAUCAGCUUUCGAUGGUAGUGCAUUGGACUACCAUGGCAGUAACGGGUAACGAAGAAUUUGGGUUCGAUUUCGGAGAGGGAGCCUGAGAGAUGGCUACCACAUCCAAGGAAGGCAGCAGGCGCGUAAAUUACCCAAUCCUGACAUAGGGAGGUAGUGACAAUAAAUCACAAUGCGGGACUUUUAGUUUUGCAAUUGGAUUGAGAACAAUGUAAAAGAGUUAUCGAUAAACAAUUGGAGGGCAAGUCUGGUGCCAGCAGCCGCGGUAAUUCCAGCUCCAAUAGCGUAUAUUAACGUUGUUGCAGU